rnacentral:sRNA from 1 species
CAUACUUAUUUCUUAAAUCACACACAUUCCGACACGUGAUCCGGGGUGCUCUUUUACGCUAAUUUUAUAGUGAAAGGGUCGGUAUCAUGGGGGGUGUGGAGGCCUAAC